rnacentral:rRNA from 1 species
UACGAAGGGGGCUAGCGUUGUUCGGAUUUACUGGGCGUAAAGCGCACGUAGGCGGAUCGUUAUGUGAGGGGUGAAAUCCCAGGGCUCAACCCUGGAACUGCCUUUCAUACUGGCGAUCUUGAGUCCGGAAGAGGUGAGUGGAACUCCUAGUGUAGAGGUGGAAUUCGUAGAUAUUAGGAAGAACACCAGUGGCGAAGGCGGCUCACUGGUCCGGUACUGACGCUGAGGUGCGAAAGCGUGGGGAGCAAACAGGAUUAGAAA